CACAAUCAAAGAACUAAACUGACACUAACUAAAAAUAGUAAAAAGCAUAAACCACCAUUUUGAUUACUGAAUUAUCACAAUUUAGCCCCAAUUGUCCCCAUUACCGGUUUAUCUCAAAUCCGGCCGGAAUUCCGGCCGGAAUUUUUGUCCAAGUCCGGUAAAUCCGGUUCCGGCCGGAUUUGAAAAUUCCAAAUCCGGUGCACCCCUAAUACUAAUAACGUGCAAGCGAUUAACAAUAUAUGGAGUGUCUCAAGAGUUACUGCAUGGAGAGCUUUAGCAGCAACUACGAGUACAAGAUUUGACCGCGUGCGUCCUGGCGCGAGGAAAUCGUAGUCGUUCUUGUUUCCAUUCAAAUAUUGCUUUAUCAUUAUUUAUCGGACGUUCUCUGACUUAGUGUCUAAUGUCUAUAGCCUUCGACGGGUGUAUACAAAUGAUUCUAUAAAGGACGCUAAACUUAAGUAGGUGAAAUCUGAGAAUAUCUAUGCUAUGUUACAAAUGGGGAAUGUGAAUAUUUAAUUAAUGUUUCUUGAGUUCCUUUGUUAAAUGUAUUGUGUAUUGUGCUGGAAGCGUAUUAGAGUUAUUAUCAGCUUCGUCUGUUAGUGCAGUGUGCGAGGACUCUAAGGUUUUAAGGUUCCUAUGAUUUCCCUUGUCUGCCACUUUGGCAUUGGCAAAGUCAAUUACAUGAUCUUGAGUUCAUGCGUGUUUUGCGACGUUCGACCCCUUCUUGCUUUGUUUCAUAUUCCUUAUGUGUUCGGACUUUUUCGUCUUCAGGGAUCUUCUUGUUUCGCCUAUGUAGCUCCAACUGCAAUCUUGACAGUGUCUGGUAAACCACGUUAUUUUGUUCUUCUAUUGGUGGUUUCUGUUUUGCAGAUGGGAACUGGCCCCCCUUAACUAACCCCCGACUAAGCCCCCCUUACAAAAAUUCCACAUGAUUUCACAUGUGUGAAAUUUCACAUGUGAAUUUGGAACAUGUGAAGUUUCA